rnacentral:rRNA from 1 species
GCACAAGCAGUGGAGUAUGUGGUUUAAUUCGAAGCAACGCGAAGAACCUUACCAGGUCUUGACAUCCGAUGCAUAGCACAGAGAUGUGUGAAAUCCUUCGGGACAUCGAGACAGGUGGUGCAUGGUUGUCGUCAGCUCGUGUCGUGAGAUGUUGGGUUAAGUCCCGCAACGAGCGCAACCCUUAUUGCCAGUUACUACGUUAAGAG